GACAGACUAACCCCUCCAUCAGAAGGAAUCAGACAGACUAACCCCUCCAUCAGAAGGAAUCAGACAGACUAACCCUCCAUCAGGAGGAAUCAGACAGACUAACCCCUCUAUCAGGAGGAAUCAGACAGACUAACCCCUCUCUCAGAAGGAAUCAGACAGACUAACCCCUCUAUCAGGAAUAAUCAGACAGACUAGAGGUAAGGAUGAAGGAGGGUCAGAGAGAGGGGUAGAGGUAAGGAUGAAGGAGGGUCAGAGAGAGGGGUAGAGGUAAGGAUGAAGGAGGGUCAGAGAGAGGGGUAGAGGUAAGGAUGAAGGAGGGUCAGAGAGAGGGGUAGAGGUAAGGAUGAAGGAGGGUCAGAGAGAGGGGUAGAGGUAAGGAUGAAGGAGGGUCAGAGAGAGGGGUAGAGGUAAGGAUGAAGGAGGGUCAGAGAGAGGGGUAGAGGUAAGGAUGAAGGAGGGUCAGAGAGAGGGGUAGAGGUAAGGAUGAAGGAGGGUCAGAGAGAGGGGUAGAGGUAAGGAUGAAGGAGGGUCAGAGAGAGGGGUAGAGGUAAGGAUGAAGGAGGGUCAGAGAGAGGGGUAGAGGUAAGGAUGAAGGAGGGUCAGAGAGAGGGGUAGAGGUAAGGAUGAAGGAGGGUCAGAGAGAGGGUCAGAGGUAAGGAUGAAGGAGGGUCAGAGAGAGGGUCAGAGGUAAGGAUGAAGGAGGGUCAGAGAGAGGGGUAGAGGUAAGG